rnacentral:rRNA from 1 species
AGUGAACGCUGGCGGUAGGCCUAACACAUGCAAGUCGAACGGCAGCACAGUAAGAGCUUGCUCUUACGGGUGGCGGGUGGCGGACGGGUGAGGAAUACAUCGGAAUCUACUUUUUCGUGGGGGAUAACAUAGGGAAACUUACGCUAAUACCGCAUACGACCUACGGGUGAAAGCAGGGGAUCUUCGGACCUUGCGCGAUUGAAUGAGCCGAUGUCGGAUUAGCUAGUUGGCGGGGUAAAGGCCCACCAAGGCGACGAUCCGUAGCUGGUCUGAGAGGAUGAUCAGCCACACUGGAACUGAGACACGGUCCAGACUCCUACGGGAGGCAGCAGUGGGGAAUAUUGGACAAUGGGCGCAAGCCUGAUCCAGCCAUACCGCGUGGGUGAAGAAGGCCUUCGGGUUGUAAAGCCCUUUUGUUGGGAAAGAAAAGCAGCAGGUUAAUACCCCGCUGUUCUGACGGUACCCAAAGAAUAAGCACCGGCUAACUUCGUG